AAGUCGAGCGAACAGAUGAGAAGCUUGCUUCUCUGAUGUUAGCGGCGGACGGGUGAGUAACACGUGGGUAACCUACCUAUAAGACUGGGAUAACUCCGGGAAACCGGGGCUAAUACCGGAUAAUAUUUUGAACCGCAUGGUUCAAUAGUGAAAGACGGUUUCGGCUGUCACUUAUAGAUGGACCCGCGCCGUAUUAGCUAGUUGGUAAGGUAACGGCUUACCAAGGCGACGAUACGUAGCCGACCUGAGAGGGUGAUCGGCCACACUGGAACUGAGACACGGUCCAGACUCCUACGGGAGGCAGCAGUAGGGAAUCUUCCGCAAUGGGCGAAAGCCUGACGGAGCAACGCCGCGUGAGUGAUGAAGGUCUUCGGAUCGUAAAACUCUGUUGUUAGGGAAGAACAAAUUUGUUAGUAACUGAACAAGUCUUGACGGUACCUAACCAGAAAGCCACGGCUAACUACGUGCCAGCAGCCGCGGUAAUACGUAGGUGGCAAGCGUUAUCCGGAAUUAUUGGGCGUAAAGCGCGCGUAGGCGGUUUCUUAAGUCUGAUGUGAAAGCCCACGGCUCAACCGUGGAGGGUCAUUGGAAACUGGGAAACUUGAGUGCAGAAGAGGAGAGUGGAAUUCCAUGUGUAGCGGUGAAAUGCGCAGAGAUAUGGAGGAACACCAGUGGCGAAGGCGGCUCUCUGGUCUGUAACUGACGCUGAUGUGCGAAAGCGUGGGGAUCAAACAGGAUUAGAUACCCUGGUAGUCCACGCCGUAAACGAUGAGUGCUAAGUGUUAGGGGGUUUCCGCCCCUUAGUGCUGCAGCUAACGCAUUAAGCACUCCGCCUGGGGAGUACGACCGCAAGGUUGAAACUCAAAGGAAUUGACGGGGACCCGCACAAGCGGUGGAGCAUGUGGUUUAAUUCGAAGCAACGCGAAGAACCUUACCAAAUCUUGACAUCCUUUGANCGCUCUAGAGAUAGAGUCUUCCCCUUCGGGGGACAAAGUGACAGGUGGUGCAUGGUUGUCGUCAGCUCGUGUCGUGAGAUGUUGGGUUAAGUCCCGCAACGAGCGCAACCCUUAAGCUUAGUUGCCAUCAUUAAGUUGGGCACUCUAGGUUGACUGCCGGUGACAAACCGGAGGAAGGUGGGGAUGACGUCAAAUCAUCAUGCCCCUUAUGAUUUGGGCUACACACGUGCUACAAUGGAUAAUACAAAGGGCAGCGAAUCCGCGAGGCCAAGCAAAUCCCAUAAAAUUAUUCUCAGUUCGGAUUGUAGUCUGCAACUCGACUACAUGAAGCUGGAAUCGCUAGUAAUCGUAGAUCAGCAUGCUACGGUGAAUACGUUCCCGGGUCUUGUACACACCGCCCGUCACACCACGAGAGUUUGUAACACCCGAAGCCGGUGGAGUAACCUUUUAGGAGCUAGCCGUCG
rnacentral:rRNA from 1 species